rnacentral:rRNA from 1 species
AGACUGAACGCUGGCGGCAUGCCUUACACAUGCAAGUCGAACGGCAGCACGGGGGCAACUCUGGUGGCGAGUGGCGAACGGGUGAGUAAUGCAUCGGAACGUGCCCAGUAGUGGGGGAUAACUAGUCGAAAGAUUAGCUAAUACCGCAUACGACCUAUGGGUGAAAGCGGGGGAUUCGCAAGAACCUCGCGCUAUCGGAGCGGCCGAUGUCUGAUUAGCUAGUUGGCGGGUAAAGCCCACCAAGGCUUCGAUCAGUAGCUGGUCUGAGAGGACGACCAGCCACACUGGGACUGAGACCACGGCCCAGACCUCCUACGGGAGGCAGCA